CCUACGGGAGGCUGCAGUGAGGAAUAUUGGUCAAUGGGCGAGAGCCUGAACCAGCCAAGUCGCGUGAGGGAGUACUGCCCUAUGGGUUGUAAACCUCUUUUGUCGGGGAGCAAAAGCCGGACGUGUCCGGCUGUGAGAGUACCCGAAGAAAAAGCAUCGGCUAACUCCGUGCCAGCAGCCGCGGUAAUACGGAGGAUGCGAGCGUUAUCCGGAUUUAUUGGGUUUAAAGGGUGCGUAGGCGGAUUUUUAAGUCAGCGGUAAAAUCGUGGGGCUCAACCCCAUCCAGCCGUUGAAACUGGGGAUCUAGAGUGUGCGAGAGGUAUGCGGAAUGCGUGGUGUAGCGGUGAAAUGCAUAGAUAUCACGCAGAACUCCGAUUGCGAAGGCAGCAUACCGGUGCACAACUGACGCUGAGGCACGAAAGCGUGGGUAUCGAACAGGAUUAGAUACCCGAGUAGUC
rnacentral:rRNA from 1 species